AUCGGGCGACAAUGUCCAACCGAACCGAACCGUCUCACUCUCCCACUUCAACGUUGAAAAAAAGGUUCCUCGGCGAAAGUAUGACACGCCGCUCUUUUCGACUAGACCACGCGCCACCAGUCCCUUUAGCUUCCCGCCUUUUGUCCUCCGUCUCUCUCUAGGUGUUGAUCUGAGGGGUUUUGGGCUUUAUGAGUCUGUAGCCGUCGAUGAUAACAGAAUGGGCGGAGUCACGUCUUCAAUUGCCGCCAAGUUCGCCUUCUUCCCACCGAGCCCUCCGUCAUACACUGUGAUAGAGGACGACACGCGUGGCGACCGAUUUUAUAUUCCCGAGGCCCCGAGGAGGGACGGCGUCAACGUGGAUGUCCUCAAGCUCCGGAACCGUAAAGGAAACGACAUCGUGGCCAUCCACGUCGAGAAUCACAAGGCAUCGGCCACUUUGCUCUACUCCCACGGGAAUGCCGCUGAUUUGGGACAGAUGUUCGAGCUCUUUGUCGAACUCAGCAUUCGGCUUCGCGUCAAUCUCAUGGGGUAUGAUUACUCUGGCUAUGGACAAUCAACUGGGAAGCCAUCUGAAUGUAAUACAUAUGCAGACAUUGAUGCAGCAUAUAAAUGCCUCAAGGAGAAGUAUGGUGUUAAAGAUGAACAAUUAGUAUUAUAUGGUCAGUCUGUCGGUAGUGGGCCCACUCUUGAUCUUGCUUCAAGAAUACCAAAGUUAAGUGGAGUAGUUUUGCAUAGCCCAAUUCUGUCUGGGCUGAGAGUAUUGUACCCAGUUAAACGGACAUACUGGUUUGAUAUCUUUAAGAAUAUAGACAAAAUUGGUAUCGUGAGCUGUCCUGUUCUCGUUAUACAUGGGACUGCAGAUGAAGUUGUGGAUUGGUCCCAUGGGAAGCAGCUUUGGGAGCUUUCCAAGGAAAAGUUCGAACCAUUGUGGUUAAGUGGAGGUGGACAUUGCAACCUUGAGCUUUACCCAUUGUUCAUUAGACAUCUGAAGAAGUUUGUACGGGCAGUUGCCAAAAUGAAAGCAACCACAAAUGGUUCUCAUAAAACUGCAGUAGAAUCUGAUGCUCAGAGCAGACCAUCUGAAACUGGAACUACAGAUAAAUUUGAAUUGGGCCCGGAUCUCCAAGAAGCUUCUAGAAACAGUUUAGAUAGCCGACUCGAGAAGUCUAGAAAGUCAAACAAGCCUGAAAAGUCUCGCAUGAGCACUGACCGUGUUGACAGGUUUAGAAGAAAGGGCUUAGUCUGGUGACUAAUUUACACACACAGGCUCACAGCAAUUAAAUAAAUAAUGGAGCUAAUAUAUACCUGGGAAGUUUUUGUUAGGGGUUGGGCUUGUUUUGAAGUCUUCUGUUGGAUCGUAUCAUAGGAUUUGGGAAUUGUAAGUCAACUGGCUGAGCUGCAUUUGGCCAUUCGAAGUGUUAGCAAAUGAAAUUGCCAGAAUGUGGAAGGGCAAUGACAACUUUGUGUGCAUUGCGUUUUCGUUUACUUGUAGCUGAUUGAGAUGAUUAGAUGGUGCGUCUCCCUGAAAAAUGGGAAACUGAGUAAAGCGUUAUGAGAUUUGAGCCGAAGUUCUCUCAGAGCAGAUUAUCACAAAUCGCUGAAGGAAGAUAGGAACAAAACAAAUUAUGCUUUAAUACUGGUUUGACAAAUAAUUGCUGUAAACAUUCAGGUAAAUAAUUCCCAGAAAAUUAUCGGGGUUUACAGGAUUUAAGCCGAAGUUCUCUCAGACCAAACCAUCAGUC